GCCGGUCCUCGGUAGUGGCUCCCGGAAAGGCGCGGCACACACCGCAGCCCCGGGUGCUUCGAUCGAAGACCGGC
rfam:Streptomyces sp. AcH 505 scaffold00001, whole genome shotgun sequence.